AUUGAACGCUGGCGGCAGGCCUAACACAUGCAAGUCGAACGAGUGGCGGACGGGUGAGUAAUGUCUGGGAAACUGCCCGAUGGAGGGGGCUAACUACUGGAACCGGUAGCUACUACCGCAUACCAUCGGAUGUGCCCAGAUGGGAUUAGCUAGUGGGUGGGGCAACGGCUCACCUAGGCGACGCUCCCUAGCUGGUCUGAGAGGAUGACCAGCCACACUGGAACUGUGACACGGUCCAGACUCCUACGGGAGGCAGGAGGGGGGAAUAUUGGACAAUGGGCGCAAGCCUGAGUCAGCCAUGCCGCGUGUAUGAAGAAGGCAUUCGGGUUGUAAAGUACUUUCAGCGAGGAGGCGUUACUCGCAGAAGAAGCACCGGCUAACUACGUGCCAGCAGCCGCGGUAAUAC
rnacentral:rRNA from 1 species